rnacentral:lncRNA from 1 species
CAAAAACAACAAUGAAAACAGAAAAAACAGCAACAACAAAACCAACACCACUUAUGACACAACCGUCUUCUACUGUGACUGCUACCACUACGGCUGCGUCUUCUACUUCUAAAGCUCUGUAUUUCAGUCUGGCGGCAGGAAUCUGUGGUUUCAUCUUCCUGAUUAUCAUCAUCGUCUUUGUCACCUGGAGAUGCAGAUUAAAGAAACAUGAAGCUGACAAACAGUUCCAUGCCUAUGAUGAGGUGUCAGAUGGGAUAGAACUUCAAUACACAUAUGAUGUGUCAAAUCAAGAUGAUCAUACAUAUUCAACUAUAGCUGAUCUACCCGUAAACAAAUGUGAAACAGACAGCCCAUAUUCCUUGGCUGGUCCUGCUACCUGCUAUUUAAACAAUAAAGAUUCAAUGGGAGACAAAACAUAUUUCUUGUUGGAAAAACCCAAAGCACCAGAAGAACUAUAAUAACCAACUUUUGCACUUUUGUUUAACAGAAUCUUCCAUAUACAUACAUACAUACAUAUAUAUAAUAUAUAUAUA